rnacentral:rRNA from 1 species
CGCGUAGGCGGCUUUGCAAGUCGGGUGUGAAAUCCCCAGGCUUAACCUGGGAACUGCAUUCGAGACUGCAUUGCUAGAGUAUGGGAGAGGGAAGUGGAAUUUCCGGUGUAGCGGUGAAAUGCGUAGAUAUCGGAAGGAACAUCAGUGGCGAAAGCGACUUCCUGGACCAAUACUGACGCUCAUGUGCGAAAGCGUGGGAGCAAACA